GACGCUGUAGGAUCGAAUGUUACCUUAAAUAAAGUAAAUUCGAGUCAACAGGGUCGU
rnacentral:pre_miRNA from 1 species